rnacentral:rRNA from 1 species
CGCCUAACACAUGCAAGUCGAACGCAGUAGCAAUACUGAGUGGCAAACGGGUGAGUAUAAUGUGGGAAUCUGCCUUUUGGUUUGGAAUAACACGGGGAAACUUGUGCUAAUACCGAAUAAGCCCUUACGGGGAAAGUUUUAACGCCGAAAGAUGAGCCCGCACUUGAUUAGCUAGUUGGUAAGGUAAAAGCUUACCAAGGCAACGAUCAAUAGCUGUUCUUAGAGGAAGACCAGCCACAUUGGGACUGAGACACGGCCCAGACUCCUACGGGAGGCAGCAGUGGGGAAUCUUGCACAAUGGGGGAAACCCUGAUGCAGCGAUGCCGCGUGAGUGAAGAAGGCCCUUGGGUUGUAAAACUCUUUCGUCGGGGAAGAAAAUGACUGUACCCGAAUAAGAAGGUCCGGCUAACUUCGUGCCAGCAGCCGCGGUAAUACGAAGGGACCUAGCGUAGUUCGGAAUUACUGGGCUUAAAGAGCUCGUAGGUGGUUAAAAAAGUUGAUGGUGAAAUCCCAAGGCUUAACCUUGGAACUGCCAUCAAAACUUUUUAGCUAGAGUGUGAUAGAGGUAAGUGGAAUUUCUAGUGUAGAGGUGAAAUUCGUAGAUAUUAGAAAGAACACCAAAUGCGAAGGCAACUUACUGGGUCACUACUGACACUGAGGAGCGAAAGCAUGGGUAGCGAAGAGGAUUAGAUACCCUCGUAGUCCAUGCCGUAAACGAUGUGUGCUAGACGUUGGAAAUAUAUUUUUCAGUGUCGCAGCGAAAGCAUUAAGCACACCGCCUGGGGAGUACGA